AUACGUAGGGUGCGAGCGUUGUCCGGAAUUACUGGCGUAAAGAGCUCGUAGGUGGUUUGUCGCGUCGUCUGUGAAAUUCCGGGGCUUAACUCCGGGCGUGCAGGCGAUACGGGCAUAACUUGAGUACUGUAGGGGAGACUGGAAUUCCUGGUGUAGCGGUGAAAUGCGCAGAUAUCAGGAGGAACACCGGUGGCGAAGGCGGGUCUCUGGGCAGUAACGGACGCUGAGGAGCGAAAGCAUGGGUAGCGAACAGGAUUAGAUACCCUGGUAGUCCAUGCCGUAAACGGUGGGCGCUAGGUGUAGGGGUCUUCCACGACUUCUGUGCCGUAGCUAACGCAUUAAGCGCCCCGCCUGGGGAGUACGGCCGCAAGGCUAAAACUCAAAUGAAUUGACGGGG
rnacentral:rRNA from 1 species